CAGUAGCCACGGUAAAACGAAGGGUGCAAGCGUUAAUCGGAAUUACUGGGCGUAAAGCGCGCGUAGGUGGUUUGGUAAGAUGGAUGUGAAAUCCCCGGGCUCAACCUGGGAACUGCAUCCAUAACUGCCUGACUAGAGUACGGUAGAGGGUGGUGGAAUUUCCUGUGUAGCGGUGAAAUGCGUAGAUAUAGGAAGGAACACCAGUGGCGAAGGCGACCACCUGGACUGAUACUGACACUGAGGUGCGAAAGCGUGGGGAGCAAACAGGAUUAGAUACCCGAGUAGUCCCUGUCUCUUAUAC
rnacentral:rRNA from 1 species